rnacentral:rRNA from 1 species
UAGGGAAUAUUGGUAAUCUGCGAAAGCGGGAACCAGCAACGCCGCAUGUGCGAUGACGGCCUUCGGGUUGUAAAGCACUUUUUGAGGGGAUGAGGAAGGACAGUACCCUCAGAAUAAGCCUCGGCUAACUACGUGCCAGCAGCCGCGGUAACACGUAGGAGGCAAGCGUUAUUCGGAUUUACUGGGCGUAAAGCGCGUGCAGGCGGUUCGGUAAGUUGGAUGUGAAAGCUCCUGGCUUAACUGGGAGAGGUCGUUCAAUACUACCGAACUAGAGGAUGAGAGAGGGAGGUGGAAUUCCUAGUGUAGUGGUGGAAUGCGUAGAUAUUCGGAGGAACACCAGUUGCGAAAGCGGCCUCCUGGGUAACAACUGACGCUCAGACGCGAAAGCUAGGGUAGCAAAUG